rnacentral:rRNA from 1 species
UACGAGUGCCUCAAGCGUUAUCCGGAAUCAUUGGGCGUAAAGGAUGUGUAGGUGGUUGUAUUAGUCUCUUGUUAAAUUCUUCGGCUUAACCGGGGGCAUGCAAGGGAAACGGUACAACUAGAGGAUGCGAGGGGUCUGCGGAACUCAUAGUGUAGCGGUGAAAUGCGUUGAUAUUAUGGGGAACACCAAAAGCGAAGGCAGCAGACUGGAGCACUCCUGACACUGAAACACGAAAGCUAGGGGAGCAAACGGG